CUGCCUGGAGAAUCCCAUGGACAGAGGAACCUGGCAGGCUACAGUCCAUGGGGUCUCAAGAGUCAUACACAACUUAGCGAAUAAAGCACCAACACUUUUGUUUAAUAGGAUUUCCCAGGUGGGAUUCAUUUGCCUUCAGGAGAUGUGGGUUUGAUCCCUGAGUCAAGAAGAUCCCCUGGAGAAGGAAAUGGCAAUCCACUCUGGUAUUCUUGCUAUAAAAUCCCUUGGACAGAGGAGUUUUGUGGGCUGCAGUCCAUGGGGUCACAAAGAGUCAGACAUGACUGAGCAUGGCACAGCUUUGUUUAAUAAGCACCUGAGUGUCUUCAUUUCAUGCCUCUCCUAGGUCUUGGCAUUCGCCAUAUCAGAGGUCAUUUAAUCAAGAAUCCUUUGAAACUUGUAAGUGUUAGCUGAAUAUCUCAAAAGAGCUGAUUCCCUUCACUUGGAAGCCAUUUUGACCCCAAGCACAUUAACCUGGGCUGCCUACAUUUCCUCCUGUGCUGUCAUUGAAGCAGUGCCAAGCUUUAUCAUUCUGAGUUCAUGUCUUCCCACUGAGGCAAACCACUUGAAUUGAUUUGAGCAAGAACAAAGAAAUUUGGCAGUUGGGAAUAAAAAGAGAUAAAAGGUUAAAUAGGUGAGAGAGCUGAAACCUGUAUCCUUGCCAUUUACUUUUGGGAGAGAAGAAAAAUUGAAGUGACAAAUAAUGAAGCUUUAGGACUGCAUUCCUAAGAUGAA